CAGUCGUAACAGAUGAGUCAAGCACAGUAAGCUUGCUUUCUUGCUGACGAGCGGCGGACGGGUGAGUAAUGUAUGGGGAUCUGCCCGAUAGAGGGGGAUAACUACUGGAAACGGUGGCUAAUACCGCAUAAUGUCUACGGACCAAAGCAGGGGCUCUUCGGACCUUGCACUAUCGGAUGAACCCAUAUGGGAUUAGCUAGUAGGUGGGGUAAAGGCUCACCUAGGCGACGAUCUCUAGCUGGUCUGAGAGGAUGAUCAGCCACACUGGGACUGAGACACGGCCCAGACUCCUACGGGAGGCAGCAGUGGGGAAUAUUGCACAAUGGGCGCAAGUAUGUGGCGGCCAUGCCGGGUGUAUGAUGAGGGCCUUAGGGUUGUAAAGUACUUUCAGCGGGGAGGAAGGUGAUAAGGUUAAUACCCUUAUCAAUUGACGUUACCCGAAGAAGCAGCACCGGCUAACUCGGUGCCAGCUGCAUGGGAAAAUACGGGGGGGGCAAGCCUUAUUCGGAAUUACUGGGCGUAAAGCUCCCCCGGGUGGCCGAUUACCCGAAAAUGUGAAUGCCGCUAGCUAAACUUGGCAAUUGUAUCUAAAACUGCUUUUUUUAGGGUUUUGCUAGAGGAGGCCAAGAUUUCAAGACCACAGCGUCAAAAUGCGACAUAGUUGUGGGGGGUGCACCGCUGAGGGUAUCUACCCCCUGUGUACUCAGACUGAUUCCCGCGCCUGGAAAGUCGGGGUUUGUAAAGGGGUUAGAAUUCCCUGGCAGUAUCGCUGUAAUCGAUGUCGAUUUAGAGGUUGUGGCUUUGGAAUCGUGGCUUUCUGAACAAAACUCGUAUAAAAUCGACUUCCUGAGGAGUUCGCCCAGUAAGGUUAAAG
rnacentral:rRNA from 1 species